UCGCACGAGAAAGGGCUUCGGCCCCGGUAAAGUGGCGCACGGGUGAGUAACACGUGGGUAAUCUGCCCUCGAGCGGGGGAUAACAUUCCGAAAGGAGUGCUAAUACCGCAUAAGACCACGACCUCGAAAGAGGAUGGGGUUAAAGCUGGCCUCUAUUCAUAAGCUAGCACUUGAGGAUGAGCCCGCGGCGCAUCAGCUAGUUGGUGGGGUAAUGGCCCACCAAGGCUAAGACGCGUAGCUGGUCCGAGAGGAUGAUCAGCCACACUGGAACUGAGACACGGUCCAGACUCCUACGGGAGGCAGCAGUGGGGAAUCUUGCGCAAUGGGCGAAAGCCUGACGCAGCGACGCCGCGUGAGUGAUGAAGGCCUUCGGGUUGUAAAGCUCUGUGGGGAGAGACGAAUAGGUGCAGCCUAAUACGUUGCAUGAUGACGGUAUCUCCUUAGCAAGCACCGGCUAACUCUGUGCCAGCAGCCGCGGUAAGACAGAGGGUGCAAACGUUG
rnacentral:rRNA from 1 species